CCUACGGGUGGCUGCAGUAAGGAAUAUUGGUCAAUGGACGCAAGUCUGAACCAGCCAUGCCGCGUGGAGGAUGAAGGUCCUCUGGAUUGUAAACUUCUUUUAUUUGGGAAGAAACUCCCGAUUUCCAUCGGGAUUGACGGUACCAGAUGAAUAAGCACCGGCUCACUCCGUGCCAGCAGCCGCGGUAAUACGGAGGGUGCAAGCGUUAUUGGGUUUAAAUGGGUCGUAGGUGGGCAGGUAUGGGAGUGUAGAAAUCUCCGGGCUUAACCCGGAAACUGCCAUUGAUACUAUUUGUCUUGAAUACUCUGGAGGUGAGCGGAAUAUGUCAUGUAGCGGUGAAAUGCUUAGAUAUGACAUAGAACACCCAUUGCGAAGGCAGCUCACUACGGAAAUAUUGACGCUGAGGCACGAAAGCGUGGGGAUCAAACAGGAUUAGAUACCCCGGUAGUC
rnacentral:rRNA from 1 species